rnacentral:rRNA from 1 species
UUCUGAAUGGAAGGGCCAUCGCUCAACGGAUAAAAGGUACUCCGGGGAUAACAGGCUGAUACCGCCCAAGAGUUCAUAUCGACGGCGGUGUUUGGCACCUCGAUGUCGGCUCAUCACAUCCUGGGGCCUGAUGAGCGUGAACGCGCUGGAAGCCAUCCGCUUCUACGUCAGCUUCGCCUGCUCUUUCGCAUUUGCCGAGCGUGAACUGAUGGAAGGCAACGCCAAAAUUAUCCGUCUGAUCGCCCGUGACGA